AAAAACAUGGCUCCUUGUUUACAAUAUAUAGGGAGUCGGACCUGCCCAGUGAAAUUUUUUAACGGCCGCGGUACUCUGACCGUGCAAAGGUAGCAUAAUCAUUUGCCUUAUAAUUGAAGGCUAGUAUGAAUGGUUUGACAAGAAUGUAGCUGUCUCUUUAUAAUUAAAUAGAAUUUUAUUUAUAGGUGAAGAAGCCUAUAUUAAAUUAAAAGACAAGAAGACCCUAUCGAGCUUGAAAAAAACUAGUAGAGUAAGAUAGUUAAUGAUAUCAGAAAAUUUACUAUUAGAAAUUUUAGUUGGGGCGACUAAGGAACAAAAAAAGCUUCCUUUAAAAAUUAAAAACUAAACAAGUAUUGAUCCAAAACAUUUGAUUAAAGGAAUUAGUUACCGUAGGGAUAACAGCAUUAUCUUUUUUAAGAGCUCUUAUCGAAAAAAAGGUUUGUGACCUCGAUGUUGGACCAGAAUAUCCUAAAGAUGCAGCAGUCUUUAAGGGUUGGUCUGUUCGACCAUUAAAAUUCUACGUGAUCUGAGUUC
rnacentral:rRNA from 1 species